rnacentral:rRNA from 1 species
GAUCAUGGCUCAGGAUGAACGCUGGCGGCGUGCUUAACACAUGCAAGUCGAACGGAGUUAGUAAGAAAGCGGAGCUUGCUCCAAUGGAAGAUUAAACUUAGUGGCGGACGGGUGAGUAACGCGUGGGUAACCUGCCUUGCACAGGGGGACAACAGUUGGAAACGACUGCUAAUACCGCAUAAGCCGGUAGGACCGCAUGGUCCAUCCGGAAAAGGUUUAUCGGUGCAAGAUGGGCCCGCGUUGGAUUAGUUAGUUGGCGGGUAACGGCCCACCAAGACUGCGAUCCAUAGCCGACCUGAGAGGGUGAUCGGCCACAUUGGGACUGAGACACGGCCCAAACUCCUACGGGAGGCAGCAGUGGGGAAUAUUGCGCAAUGGGGGAAACCCUGACGCAGCAAACGCCGCGUGAGUGAGGAAGUAUUUCGGUAUGUAAAGCUCUAUCAGCAGGGAAGAAGAUGACGGUACCUGCAGAAGAAGUCCCGGCUAACUACGUGCCAGCCGCAGC